rfam:Biomphalaria glabrata isolate BB02 unplaced genomic scaffold LGTN_random_Scaffold322, whole genome shotgun sequence.
GGCACGAUGGCUGAGCGGUAAAGCACUUGGCUUCUGAACUGGGGGUCCCGGGUUUGAAUCCUGGUGAAGUCU